AUAAUGGGUCAGCGACUUAUAUUCUGUAGCAAGGUUAACCGAAUAGGGGAGCCGAAGGGAAACCGAGUCUUAACUGGGCGUUAAGUUGCAGGGUAUAGACCCGAAACCCGGUGAUCUAGCCAUGGGCAGGUUGAAGGUUGGGUAACACUAACUGGAGGACCGAACCGACUAAUGUUGAAAAAUUAGCGGAUGACUUGUGGCUGGGGGUGAAAGGCCAAUCAAACCGGGAGAUAGCUGGUUCUCCCCGAAAGCUAUUUAGGUAGCGCCUCGUGAAUUCAUCUCCGGGGGUAGAGCACUGUUUCGGCAAGGGGGUCAUCCCGACUUACCAACCCGAUGCAAACUGCGAAUACCGGAGAAUGUUAUCACGGGAGACACACGGCGGGUGCUAACGUCCGUCGUGAAGAGGGAAACAACCCAGACCGCCAGCUAAGGUCCCAAAGUCAUGGUUAAGUGGGAAACGAUGUGGGAAGGCCCAGACAGCCAGGAUGUUGGCUUAGAAGCAGCCAUCAUUUAAAGAAAGCGUAAUAGCUCACUGGUCGAGUCGGCCUGCGCGGAAGAUGUAACGGGGCUAAACCAUGCACCGAAGCUGCGGCAGCGACACUAUGUGUUGUUGGGUAGGGGAGCGUUCUGUAAGCCUGCGAAGGUGUGCUGUGAGGCAUGCUGGAGGUAUCAGAAGUGCGAAUGCUGACAUAAGUAACGAUAAAGCGGGUGAAAAGC
rnacentral:rRNA from 1 species